CCUACGUGUGGCUGCAGUGGGGAAUAUUGGACAAUGGGCGAAAGCCUGAUCCAGCCAUGCCGCGUGUGUGAAGAAGGCCUUCGGGUUGUAAAGCACUUUCAGUGGGGAAGAAAGCCUUGGGGCUAAUACCCUCGAGGAAGGACAUCACCCACAGAAGAAGCACCGGCUAACUCCGUGCCAGCAGCCGCGGUAAUACGGAGGGUGCGAGCGUUAAUCGGAAUUACUGGGCGUAAAGCGCGCGUAGGCGGUCUGAUAAGCCGGUUGUGAAAGCCCCGGGCUCAACCUGGGAACGGCAUCCGGAACUGUCAGGCUAGAGUGCAGGAGAGGAAGGUAGAAGUCCCGGUGUAGCGGUGAAAUGCGUAGAGAUCGGGAGGAAUACCAGUGGCGAAGGCGGCCUUCUGGACUGACACUGACGCUGAGGUGCGAAAGCGUGGGUAGCAAACAGGAUUAGAUACCCUAGUAGUC
rnacentral:rRNA from 1 species